UUAUGUCUUAGGGAAUUUCAGCAAGUUAAAGAUUUUUUAUGUGAAUGUAGGAAUCAAUUCUAAGAACUCGAGAGGUAGCAUCCAAUAUGUAUUCACCUUACUACAGCAAAGAAUCUAACACUUUGGGUAAGUGUUCAUUCUUUAACUUAGGAAAAAUAGAUGGUAAGUCACCUCACUAAGCUUCUUGUUAUUCAUUGUCAAGCUUGAAAUCACUACUAGAGGGAUGUCAAAAGGAAGCAUGUGCAGAUUGAUCCUAUGGCUUAUCAUGUCCCAAGAAUUCAUAUCUACCAGUCUCAAAUAGCUAAUGCACAAAGGACCUAUUCUCUGUUUACAAUUCGGGUGCACUAUCUGCAAUGCUUGUUCUAAGGUUUGCUAUGCCAACUUUUUUUCCUUCUUUUGAUGGCUACUUUAUUUCUUAUUUUACAUUCAAUUUGUUCCAAUUCUUAUUUUAUAAGUUAUGUAUUGUUGGUGCAUAUGGAAUGAGUAAAUUCACUUGCAUCAUUAUGUCUCUAUUAUUCAGGUAUGUCACUCCACUUCCUCUUCCCACCUCAAAACUCUUUAUAGCUUAGUUCUUCACUACAAAUUUCGUAAGAACUAUAAAAGCUCAAAUUCAACUAUUGUAUUUUAGUUGUUCAAAGCAAUAAAACAGCAAACAACAACUAGUUGAGUGAGCGGCUCGUACUACCGACUUGAAGUGCUUGAUUCAAUUUAUUGUUAGGUGCCUAAACAAGCCUUUAUAUAUAAUUCUUAACUGAAAAUGAGUAAUAUGAUGUUUAGUGUGGAUGUCCUCUUCUAUGACACGAGAGUAAUAAUUUCUUGUUGUUUUGCCCUUCUUUUGUUAGGAGGAAUUAUAUUGCCUAUUGCUAAGGGAAGAAGUUGCUAGAAUCUAAUACUGUGAAAGUGUAAAUUUUGGAGUUUCUUUGUAAUUGCAUUGUAAGAUCAUCUAAUCUCUAAGUGAAAAAACUCUUGGCUACAAUUGAAGCAUUCCAUUAUGUACAUAAUGUUGUUAGCUUUAUUGAUUUGGCAGGCUUAUUUCCCAAGUCUUGUAAUCAAGUUGUUGGUUCCAAUAUCGUUGAACAUUCAUGACAUAUAGAUCUUCUAAUUUGCAAGCUCCUAUGACAUCUGUCAAACUCAACAAAGGUUCAUUCGUAUCUCAAAAAUUGUUAUAGAUUCUACUUUUUAUGCAAUAGAUUUCAAAAAAUUAAUUCUUGUAUGAUUUUUUGUAGGAAAAAAGAUUGAGCUACAUAUUUGACCUCAAAGCAGAGAGAGUUAAUCAUUUUGAUGAGGUACAUAUGGUAAGCCUUCAUCAACAACUGUCACAUUGUUCUUUAUGAUAAUUUGUGUUUUCUUUUAGUUCAUUCUUAUACAAUUCCUUUAAUAUCGAAAUUAAAAAACAAAGUACAUAAUUUAUUGAGUUGGCUGUUGUAACAUAUAGUUAUGACAUUAUUCAUGUUCCAAAAUAAUGGAAAGCCAAUCCAAGAUGAUUGAUCUAUAUGUUCAAGAUGCUUGAAAGGAGUGUCAUGAGUCUUUUUAUGGUACCAUUUGCAUAUUAGUGUAAGAGUUAUUAUUCUUAAACUAACUUUUUUCUUCUUUUUUUAUUUUUGCGGAAUUAUAGGUGAGAAUCAAGUUUAAUCGAACUAUCCUUGGGACUGAUUUUUACUGGAAGAUAACCUCAUAUUUCAUAAUGUCAUUCAUUGUUGGCAUACAAAAGCUCAAUCAUUAAACAACUUAUGAAAUAAAAGGGUGGUCGAUUAAGAGAGGAAGAAUGGAUUCAAAAGUUGAUCUCCACUUCCCACGCUUUUGAAGGCUUCAAUCAUGACUCAAAGAACAAGUUGGUUUAUUUAAAGGUUUUGGAAUCUCCUUGCAUGUUGUGGAAGUGUAUUUAGCUUCUAAAUAAAAGUAGAAUUCAAAUCCAGUAUCAACUUUCAAUUACUACAAAUUGCCACUCAAAUCUCCUUACAACCUUUCUAUUAGUUGUUUCUUUAUGCUUCUUCAAUGAUACUAUUAACAUUAUUUUAUGUUACUUUUGAUGGAAUCAUUUUCUAAUAUUUGUCUAUUUGGAUAUUGUAAUUUUUGGAUGAAACAUGAGUUGUUUCUUCUACUCUUCUACUCUAUUGUACUUCAUCUUUCUUACAUGGGCAUGCCCAAGAUUCUUGUGAAUCAUGUAAAUUUAGUGAUUGUUGCUUAUAUUUGAUAUUAAGAUUUGUUUAUAAUUCUUUUUUUAAUAUUUAUUUUAUUUACUUUCUAAUACUUUGUUUUUAUUGGGGGCUUCUCUCAGGUUUGUGAUCAAAGUGAGAUGCAUGAAAUUUUAAAAUCCAAAUUAGGAAAGAAAUCAGUCUUCUAUAAUAUAUAUUGCAAUGAGAAACUAUGUUCUUUAAAGCUUUGGUACAACAUUAUUUUUUUCAAGGAAAAUUUUGAAAUUUUGUGUUUUAGAACUUAUUUUUAGAAAAUGUGAAAAACAUAAUAAAAAUGUUUGGACUAUAAUUCAAGAGGGUUGUAGUUAAUCUAAGUCUAACUUAAUCUCUUUUUUUAAAAAAAAAAAUAGGUUUAUCAAGUUGUCCAGGGUAAAAAUCUACAUUUUUUUUAACUUUAUUUAAUAUAUUUAUAUUAAAAUUAAAAUAAUUAAUGAGACUAUUUCAAGAUAAUAAUUAAAAAAUUAAAAAAUAAAUUUAUAUGUCUUUUUAGAAAAAUGAGAUAAGAGUAAUUACAAUUUAAUAUUUUUUUCCUAUAAAAUUAAAAAAUAAAUCAAAUGAAUAUUAUUAGUGUUGAGUUAUGUAAAACCUAAUUAUACCAUACACUUUCACCAUAACAAUGACCAACCUUCGUGGUGCUAAGGUUAGUGAGUGUGGGGGUUCCAGACAUAAACCCCAAUAGGUUGAGAUUAGGUUGUGGCCACAUGGAAAAUUGUAUAGUAUCAUUAGGUUACACUCAAUUUAAUAAACCUAAUCUUAUUUUUCUAAACUUAGGUUGAAAUUAAAUUAGUUAGAAUAUAUUCAAGGUGGUCGAAUUAAUUAAGUCAUGUAAUUCGUAAUCCAUUCAUAAUGUUUUUUUUCUUAUAUAUUUAUACCAAAAUCUAAAUAGUAAGUUGGAUACAAUUACGAUCCAAUAACAAAAAUGUAAAAAGAAAUUUAUAUAUCCUUAUAAAAAAUUAAAAAGUUAUAUAAUAGAAUUAUAAUUUGAUAUUUUUUUUCUUAAAAAUAAAAAAGAGAAUAAAUAAAAUGAACACUUUUAAUGUAAGAUUAUAUAAAUUAUAAAUAAUAUAAAAUUAUUAAAUUAGAUUCAUCAUCCAAACCUUAGUAUGAGUGUAACUCAAAUUAAGUUCAAAUCGAAAAAAACUUUACCUAAACUCAACAACUUUAAAAAUGAUUAUCUGCACCCGUCUAAAAGUAGGAUUUUUUUAGAGUCCUAUUUCUCUAUUUUUAACUUAAUUUUAUUUUUUUUCAACGGAAUUAUAGAUAAGGAUCAAGUUUAAUCAAACUAUCCUUGGGAUUGGCUUUUACUGGAAAACAACCUCAUACUUCAUAAUGGCAUUCAUUGUUGACACACAAAAGCUUAAUCAUUAAACAAUUUAUGAAAUAAGAGAAUGGUUGAUUAAAAGAUGAAGAAUGGAUUCAAAAAUUGAUCUCCACUUCUGGCACUUUUGGAAGCUUCAAUCAUGCCUCAACGAACCAUUUGGUUUAUUUAAAGCUUUUGGAAUCUCCUUGCAUGUUGUGGAAGUGUAUUUAGCUUCUAAAUAGAAGUAGAAUUCAAAUCCAGUAUCAACUUUCAAUUACUACAAAUUGCCACUCAAAUCUCCUUACAACAUUUCUAUUAGUUGUUCUUUUAUGUUUCUUCAAUGAUACAAUUAGCAUAAUUUUAUGUUACUUUGAUGGAAUCAUUUUCUAAUAUUUGUCUAUUUGGAGAUUGUAAUUUUUGGAUGAAACUUGAAUCUUUUCUUCUAUUCUUCUACUCUAUUGUACUUCAUCUUUCUUACAUGCAUGCCCAAGAUUCUUGAAAAUCAUGUCAAUUUAGUGUUUGUUGUUUGUAUUUGAUAUUAAUAUUUGUUUAAAAUUCUUGUUUUUAAUAUUUAUUUUCUAAUACUUGGUUUGUUUUUGUUUUUAUAAGGGGCUUCUCUCAUGUUUGUGAUCAAAGUGAGAUGUAUGAAUUUGAAAAUCCAAAUUAGAAAAGAAAAUCAAUCUUCUACAAUAUAUAUAGCAAUGAGAAACUAUUUUCUUUAAGGGAGAAUUAUGUUUUGGGGGUAGAUGGACCCCCAAAUUAACAAAAGGUCCAUGUAACUCUUCAAAUUGAGCCCAAGACCCAAUGAAAGUAUGGAAAUUGAGUUGAAGGAUAUCAUCCUUCAGUAUUUCCAAAAAUACCAUUUGUUAAUUUUGAGAAAAAAAAUUAAUAUUUUUUAAAAAUACUUUUAUUUAAUUUAAUAUUUUUUAUUUAAUUUAAUAUUUUUAAAAAAUACUUUUAUGUAAUUUAAUAUUUUUUAAAAUAAUUUUAUUUAAUUUAAUAUUUUUAAAAAAAAAUUUAAUUUAAUAUUUUUGAAAAAAAAUUAUUUAAUUUAAUAUUUUUGAAAACUACUUUUAUUUAAUUUAGUAUUUUUGAAAAAAAAAUUAUUGAAAAAAAAUUAUUUAACUUAAUUUUAUAAAAUAUUUUAUAUGUGUUCUUAAAGGGUAUAUUUGUCCGUUACUAUUUCAUAUCCUUCAACUCAAUUUGAAGAGUUAUAUGGGCAUUUUGUUAAUUUGGAGGUCCAUCUACCCCCAAAAAUAAUUCUCCCUUUCUUUAAAGCUUUGGUACAACACUUUCUUUUUUUUUGGAAAUUUUUUAAAUUUAGUGUUUUAGAACUUAUUUUUAGAAAAUGUAAAAAAACAUAGUAAAAAUGUUAGGGCUAUAAUUUGAUAGGGUUAUAGUCAAUCUAAGUCUAAUUCAAUCGCAUUUUUUUAAAACAAGUUUAUCAAGUUGUUAGCAAUGAAAAUCUACAUUCUUUUUUAACUUUAUUUGAUAUAUUUAUGUUAAAAUUUAAAUAAUUAAUGAGACUAUUUCAAGAUAAUAAUUAAACAUAAAAAAUAAAUUUUUAUAUCUUUCUAGAAAAAUGAAAUAAAGUAAUUAUAAUUUAAUAUUUUUUCCUUAUUAUUAAAUAAAUUAAUUAAUUAAAUAUUAUUAGUGUUGAGUUAUGUGAAGCCUAAUUAUACUACACACUUUUCACCAUAACAAUCGACUGACCUUCAUGGUGUUAAGGUCGACAUGUGUGGGGGUUUGAGGCAUAAGCCCCAAAAGAUUGAGAUUAGGUUGUAAUAGUAGAGAAAAGUUUAUAGUAUGAUUAGGCUCCACAUAAUUUAACAUAAUCUAAUUUUAUUUUUCUAAACUUAGGUUAAGAUUAGAUUGGUUGGAUUAUAUUUGGUUUGGUCAAAUUGAUCGAGUCUUAUAAUUCAUAAUCCAUUAGCAAUGGUUUUUUAUUUAUUAAUUUUUGUUUAUUUAUACCAAAAUAUAAAUUGUAAGUUGGAUACAAUGUCAAAAUAAUAACAAAAAUGUAAAAAUAAAUUUAAAUAUCUUUAUAAAAAAAGGUUAUAUAAUAGAAUUAUAUUUGAUAUUUUUUUCUCAAAAAUAAAAAGAGAGAAUAAAUAAAAUAAAUACUUUUAAUAAUAAAUUAUUAUUAUUAUUAUUAUUAUUAUUAUUAUUAUUAUUACAAACUUAAUUCAAUUGCACUCAACAUGAUUAAGCCUUUUUAUUUUCAUUUUUUAAAAUAAUAAAUCGUUUUCACUUUAAUUUUCAAGCAAAGAUUACAAAAUUUGAACACCAUUAUAAGCAAUUUUUAUUUAACCCUUCAAUAAGAAAGAAAAUUAAUCUAACAAUUUUUAAGAAAGCUUAUUUAUGAACUUCUCAAAUUAAUUUUUAUUAUAUUCUUCUUCCAAUCUAAACCAGCUAAUAGAUGCCCUUUUAUCCAUAUAAUAUUUUACAUGAGAUGUUCUUCUUGAUGCUGAGGAGCAGCAGGGCCAAAGCCAUGAAUUGCAGCAAGGAGGAAUAGCAAGGCAGGUAGGUGACUUUAUUGUGGGUAUUGGGGGGUUUAGGCAAGACCACCCUGAUGCAUGAAAUUUUAAAAUAGAAAUUAGGCAAGAAAAUUUAGUCUCCGGCAAUAUAUAUAGCAAUGAGACACAUAGAUGGUUGUCUGGGGUUUCUGGUUUGUAGAGAGAGAAAGGGAGGUUUAUAGAGAGAGAAGAUCGACUAGGUUGGGGUUUGAAAUUGAAUUUUGGGCAGGAUCCAAAACAGAUGGUAGAGAUUGGAUCCUGGGGAUCUGACAAUGGAGUUUGGAGUUUGAAUUUGUCAUAGGCUAUAACACACUGGCAAUGUUAAAGCCCAAAUUUAAUGGGCUGGGAUAUGUACUUCUCACUUUUGGGCUUUGGUCCAACAGCCCAACUUCUUUUAUUUUUUAAAAAUUAAUUAAAUACGUGAUUAAACAUAUCCUUUUUUUUUUUUAUCUAUUUGAUUAAUGGGAUAUAAUAUAAUUCAUGGUUUGGGAUCUUUGGUGCUUAUCAAAUUUUGUUCUUGGAUUUUUUUUAAAGUGGGACAAGUAAGUACAUACUUUUUACUUGAGGGGUAACUAGCAACUUUUCCAUAAUUAAAUUUUACAUGACUAUAAUAUAUUUAUUGGAAAUAAUUUUUUCUCCCUAAAAUUUUUUAUUUAAUUGCUACAAAAUAAUUUUAAUUAUUGAAAUUAUUUUAUUGUUACUCUAAUUAAAUUACGGUGGGCUUUGGGUUUGGGUUUUGGACAAACCUAAGGCCAACUUAAACCUAAUAUAUAUUUUACAUAAAUUUCAAACUAUACGUAUAUGAUAGUUUUGUUAUUUUGAGUGUCAUAAGGGAAUGAUAAGAAGCUGAGCUUGAAUUGGAUAGCUUGGAUUGGAUUCGACAAAUGAUAAGAAGUCGAGAUUCACUUUCUUUUCCUUUUUCUAAUAUAUUUCUUUCACUUUUCCUUUUUAGUUUUUUUAAUAAAAUUUCAUCCUACCCCACUUUCAAAAAUAAAAAGUUAAAAAAUGACUGGCUUGAGACUGUUCAAAAUCUAAUUUUUUUUUUUUAAAGGUGAGGAAGAUGAGUUAUGCUUUCUUUGUACAAGCCCACUCUUCACGUAGUUCCUUUUAUGAUAUACUAUCUAAUACUUUUUUCAUUAGUUUCCAUCUCCAUUAUCUUAAAAAUUCAAAUACAAAUUAUCAAAUUUACAAAAGGUAUAAACAAUUGUGAAAUAAUAAGAUGUUACCAAUGCUACAACAAUAUCCACAAUGAUAAUACUUCGAGUACUAUAAAUUUAUUAGCUUUAAUUUUUUUGUUCUUUUUAAUUUGUAAAGAAAUGCGGUGAUAUUAUACAAGUCUUUUUGUAAGGUGACUAAGGUUUUUCACACAUGAAACUAUACCAUAAAUGUAUAAACUAUUUAAAUAUAAAAAUUAAGGAUUAUGUUAAGUUCUUGGAUAUUACUAAGAAAUUGACAAAAAAAAAAUAGUUAGAAAAAUGAUUAAUUUUUUUAUAUCUGCAUGUUAUAGAAAAAUAUGAUGAAAACAUAUUAAGAAAAAUAGGAGAAAAUUGCUAAAAGUUUUCCCGACCUUUUUCCUUAUAUAAAGGUGAGUAAAACUUGAUGAAAGUGUAUUUCUUAAAAUUUUAAUUUUUUAUUUUUCUCUCAACUUUUUCAUGAAUAUGUUAUUAACAUAAAAAAAAAUAUAGUAAAAGGAAAAUAUGAUUUUACAAAAUUUAUCCAAAGUAAAAAAAUAAACGAUGCAUAAUAAUUUUCUUUUUUCCUGGCUUUAUUCUUACAAUUUACUUUUGAUGGAAGUAAAUUAUUUUGCGUCAACUCAAAUUCAGCCUUUUCAAAAAGUAAUGGGAAUCCAAUGAAUUUUUUCAAAUUCAUUUUAAUUUAUGACCCACCAUGUGAAGGAGUAAUCAUUUUCUAGGUGAUAGGAUUCCAAAUCAAUUAUUUCAAAUUCACAUUGCUUUAUAGCCCACUUUUUCAAAAGUUGCUAUCAUCAUUUCCUUGCAGGCUCUUUGCCCUGUCUCCCACUAAUUCCUUGGGAAAGAACAAGACUUCUUUCUUCCAAGCAUGCAAAUUCCAAAAUGAUAUUAUCUACUAUUUUAAAUCUAAGAACCCUACCUAUAUAUAUGUGAUGGGAUCCACUACUUUUCAAGCAGGCUCCCAACUUCCAUGGAAACUCUAGGGCCUCUCGACAUCUUUCUAUACAUUUAUUUAUUUUUUAAAACUAUUAUUUUCAUAACAUUGCUUUAAAGAAGUUGUUUUUUUUUCCAUAUUUUUCUAAAAUAAUAGUAAAAAAGUUUUGAUAUACUAUCUAAUACUUUUUUCAUUAGUUUCCAUCUCCACUAUCUUAAAAAUUCAAAUACAAAUUAUCAAAUUUACAAAAGGUAUAAACAAUUGUGAAAUAAUAUGUUACCAAUAUCCACAAUGAUAAUACUUCAAGUACUAUAAAUUUAUUAGCUUUGAUUUUUUUUCUUUUUAAUUUGUAAAUAAAUGUGGUGAUAUUAUACAAGUCUUUUUGUAACGCGACCCCCUUCUCGCGGUUAAGGUAACGACUUCGGGCAUGGCCAGCUCCCAUAGUGUGACGGGCGGUGUGUACAAGGCCCGGGAACGAAUUCACCGUUGUAUGGCUGAUCGACGAUUACUAGCAAUUCCGGCUUCAUGCAGGCGAGUUGCAGCCUGCAAUCCGAACUGAGGACGGGUUUGAAUUCCCGAUAGAAAGAGAUUUCGCGAACGCAAAAGCCUUUAAUGCGGCCCGUCAUCCCUUCCUUUUGGAAAGCUUUCCAUUCUUCCAAGUGAUGAAGCAAGGGAAGGCAGUAGUGGGGAAUUUUCCGCAAUGGGCGAAAGCCUGACGGAGGAAUGCCGCGUGGAGGUAGAAGGCCCACAGGUCGUGAUUAGGAUCAGAAUGACAAAUACAAUAGAUUUUAAACUAUACCAUAAAUGUAUAAACUAUUUAAAUAUAAAAAUUAAGGAUUAUGUUAAGUUCUUGGAUAUUACUAAGAAAUUGACAAAAAAAAUUGUUAGAAAAAUGAUUAAUUUUUUUAUAUCUGCAUGUUAUAGAAAAAUAUGGUGAAAACAUAUUAAGAAAAAUAGGAGAAAAUUGCUAAAAGUUUUCCUGACUUUUUUCCUUAUAUAAAGGUGAGUAAAACUUGAUGAAAGUGUAUUUCUUAAAAUUUUAAUUUUUUAUUUUUCUCUCAACUUUUUCAUGAAUAUGCUAUUAACAUAAAAAAAAAAUAUAGUAAAAGGAAAAUAUGAUUUUACAAAAUUUAUCCAAAGUAAAAAAAUAAACGGUGCAUAACAAUUUUCUUUUUUCUUGGCUUUAUUCUUAUAAUUUACUUUUGAUGGAAGUAAAUUAUUUUGGGUCAACUCAAAUUCAGCCUUUUCAAAAAGUAAUGGGAAUCCAAUGAAUUUUUUCAAAUUCAUUUUAAUUUAUAACCCACCAUGUGAAGGAGUAAUCAUUUUCUAGGUGAUAGGAUUCCAAAUCAAUUAUUUCAAAUUCACAUUGCUUUAUAGCCCACUUUUUCAAAAGUUGCUAUCAUCAUUUCCUUGCAGGCUCUUUGCCCUGUCUCCCACUAAUUCCUUUGGAAAGAACAAGACUUCUUUCUUCCAAGCAUGCAAAUUCCAAAAUGAUAUUAUCUACUAUUUUAAAUCUAAGAACCCUACCUAUAUAUAUGUGAUGGGAUCCACUACUUUUCAAGCAGGCUCCCAACUUCCAUGGAAACUCUAGGGCCUCUCGACAUCUUUUUAUACAUUUAUUUAUUUUUUAAAACUAUUAUUUUCAUAACAUUGCUUUAAAGAAGUUUUUUUUUUUCCAUAUUUUUCUAAAAUAAUAGUAAAAAAGUUUUGAAAAUUAAUUUCCUUUUUCUCACUUUUUUUUCAAUGGAUAUCUAGACAAAAGAAAUUUUUUUUAUAAAUUUUUCUUCUCCUUUUCUUUUAUUUUUAAAAUUUUUUACUUUAUUUUUAUUUUUUUCUAACUUUCUGAAAAUUGUUAUAUAAGCAGCCAAACAAGACUUCUUCCUUCCAAGCACGCAGACCAUAUUCCACAAUAAUAUGAUAUAUUAUAGGAAACUUCUAUGGUGCUGAGGGAGGUACCAUACCUCAGAUUUUUUAUAGUCGUUGGAUGCAAGAGUUUAAAUCUCAGCCAUUGAAAAGAAAAAGAAAAAAAGGAAAAAGGAAAACUGGCUACCUGUUGUCUCCCCCUCUCAGGCCAUUUUCCCGUUUGUUCCCUCUUUCCCGUUUGUUCCCUCUCUUCCCUCAUUUUCUACCUGUUCUCUCCCCCUCUUAGCCCCUCUCUCUUCUCCUCCAUAGUCGAGCGUCUUCUCCUCUAGCUGUGUCUCGUGCUCUCGUCUCCAGCUGUGUCUCGUGCUCUCAUCUCCACACUCCUCCAUAGCCGAGCGUCUUCAGCCCCUCUCUUCUCCUCCAUAGCCGAGCAUCUUCUCCUCCAGCCGUGUCUCGUGCUCUCAUCUCCAGCUGUGUCUCGUGCUCUCAUCCCCACACUCCUCCAUAGGCGGCCGUCUUGUCCUCCAUAGUCGGUUGUGUCCCCGUGCUCUGAUCUCCACUCAUUCUCGACAGCCGAGUCUAGAAAUCCUAUCUUCGGAAGAAACGCAAGAGGCAAAUGCGAGACAAUGAAGAAAUGAGGGAAAGAAAGCACUGAAGAAGGAGAUAGAGACCCCUCUCACGAUUAAUCUUCAGUCGAGUUUCUGUUUUCUCCAUUUUUUAUCGAGUUUGCCGAUAUUUUCCUCUCUUCUCCAUACUCGACUCUUCUCAGGUAUCUCCAUCGACUGUUAUUUUCAGGUGCUUUAAGUUGUCUUUGUGUAUUGUUGGAUGUUUUUGUGUUAUUGGGUGUUUUCGGGUAAGAUAUUGUAGCUGUUCCGGGGGACAUCUUUUUGAGUUCUGGCUUUUUUAGUAUCCCCUUUGAUUAUGUCCAUAUUUAGUUUUCAUAUUUGGGGUUUUUUCGGGUUUUGAAGUAAAGAGUACGAUAUUCCCGCUCCCUCCCUCCUAUCCAUAACCCUUGUAUUUUGUUCAUAUUUUAUAUUUUGUUUAAGGGGUGUUUUUGGCUUUUAAAUUUCCUGGUUUGAAGACCCGAAUUGAAGACAUAGCUGGAAGAAAAAGAAGAAAAAAUGUGAGUAUUGAUAAUGUGUUUUACAAUAUUAUAGCCAUUAUAUUUCAUGCUUUUUGUGAGAUUUAUAGAUUGAUGACAUUAAUGAAAAUAAUGUGGUUAGAUCCAUAAUUGUAGAUUGAAAAAGAUUGAUAUGCUAAAUUUGUGACCAUUUAAAAUGUACAUAGAUUUAGGGAAGAUUUUGUAGUGGUGGUGAAAGUAUGUUUGAUUUAUUAUAUUUGAAAUCAUAUUAUAAAAAUUGACUUAAAUGCUUUGAUUUAAUUUUUAGGAGCGAACGCGAUGGACUUGAAGUUGUUAGAAAUCCAAAGAGGCCUAUCGGCGCUUGGAUACAUUACUAGUAAGGGAAAAUAGAAAUAUGUAAAAUAAUAUGUUUUUUAAUGUAUUUUUUGUGGUUGUUAUUGUUAAAUUUGUUUGAAAUUGUUUUGUAGUAAUGAUCAAUUAGCCAUGAUGAAAGAGAAGGAUAAAGGAGUGAAGAUAAAUGAUGAUGUAAGGAGUAAUUUUGCUAGUCUAAUAUAAUUACAUUUUAAAAUUAGAAUUUAAAUUAUGUGACCAAUUAAUGUAGUUGAGGAAAAAAUUGGGCAAGAAGUGGAAUGCACUUUCAAAAGUAGAAAAAGAAAAUUUCAUGGCAAAGUCCAAAGAAAGUUCAAAACAAUAUUCACUUCAAAAGGGUGUAGUUCCAAAGGUAAUUUUUUUUUGUAAUGAAUAUUUAAUUUCUUUACUUAUGUAUUUGUUGGAAAUUAUAUUAAUGUAAACAUGUUUGAUGUUUGUGUAUCUUUUCAGUUAUAUCUUCAGACUCGAUGCUCCCCCGAGCGAGUUAUUAGAGUGAUUGAAAAUUUAGAACCAAAGCAAAAGGCAGCCAUAGAAGAAAUAGGAUUUGGUAGCCUCUUGCAACUUCGAUGUAGGAAAAUUGAUCAUGGGUUAUGUCUUUGGUUGAUAAAUAGUUUUAAUCCGAACACUUAUAUGUUACAGUUGUAUAAUACUUGUAUCAAAUUAUCCCCCAUUGAUGUUGAAUUCAUUAUGGGAUUGAGGGCAAGAGGGUUCAAGAUUGGCAUGAACAAAGAUGUUGGUCAUAAGAAUGAUUUAUGUAAAAAAUAUUGUGAUAAAAAAGGGCGAUUGCCAUUAGUGAUGUUAGAAAAUCAAAUUAGGGAGGAUAAAGAGGGUGGAAACGAUUUUAAAGUUCGUUUUGUAUUAUUUGUGUUGGGUGCAUUAUUGUGCCCAACAAUGAAGCUUUUUGUGAAUCGCUCUUUCUUACAUCUUGUGGAAGACAUCGAUUAAUUAAAGAAGAUGAAUUGGGCAGAAUUUGUGUUGUCCUAUCUUGUGCACGGGAUUGAAGAGUUUAAGAAGAAACAACAAAGUGGGGUUUACGGUUGCUUAUUGUUUUUAAUGGUAAUUAAUUUACAUCAUAGUGAAUUACGAUUUUGUUUUAAUAUAAUUUAUGAACUAACUAUAUAUCUAUGUCAAAUAUACUCGUAGUUAUUCUACCACGAGCAUAUAUCGUUUGAAGAGAAAUUUCUACCGCUAUAUACUUGACUUUCUCCUCGGAUUACUGCUUGGGGAGAUGAUGAAGUAUUGGACAGGAAACGAAGAUUGAAAAAACUUAGUGGAUAUGCAAAUGAGAAUGUAAGUUAUAGUUUUGAAAGUCGUUUGCUAUUGAUUUAAGUUUUUAGUGAUUUAAAAUCUGAUAUGUAUUAUAUUUUGAUGAAUAUAUUGUAGCUCAAAAUAUGGGUGAUAGAAAAUGAGAUAAGGGAUUGCGUUGAUGGAAAUGCAACGAUAAUGGCGAGUGAGAAUGAGGACGAUGAGAAAUUUGUAUCCAAUCUAAACAAAGAUGUUAUUAAACGAAUAAGUGUUUUACAAUAUUCAUCGUGACUAUCUAUAUUAGCAUUGAACCUUUGUAUUAUGAUGUUAUUAAUCACGUUCGUAUAUAUCACUAGGUUGAUGGUGGGAACUUAAUGGAGAUGGAUAAAACCUUUCAACAAUUAAAGACACAUCUAAUUGAUAUGGCGUAUGGUGCAAGUAGUCGUAGUUGUGAUCAAAUUUUGGCUAAAUUUGAGGAGAAUUAUACUACAGUGAAAGGUCUCUUCCUUAGGUCAAGCGGAAAACCUUUGAGAAUGCACGAGGAAGGAACGAAGAAUGACAUGCUCUCAUGCGAGAGAAGUUUGGAAGAUACGAACAAUAUGAAUGUGAAUGAACAUUAUCUUCACACUUUGUCAAAUGACAAGUUAUGCACCGAGGACUUGAAUGAAAGAAUGAGAUGCAUGUGCUACNNNNNNNNNNNNNNNNNNNNNNNNNNNNNNNNNNNNNNNNNNNNNNNNNNNNNNNNNNNNNNNNNNNNNNNNNNNNNNNNNNNNNNNNNNNNNNNNNNNNNNNNNNNNNNNNNNNNNNNNNAAUACUAAAAAAUUCACAAGGGUACGAAGAAUGUGAGGAAUCCUCACAUUCUUCGUACACUCCCAAAUCUCCAUUUCUUUGGACUUUUUAAAAUUUUUUGGGGCUUCAUAUGGCUUGGAUGUUGCUUGAAUAGGUCCGUUACACUUAGAAGGUGGUCAAAUGAUAUCCGAAAAAAUCGAAAUCCAAAAAUACUAAAAAAUUCCCUCACAUUCUUCGUACCCUCCCAAAUCUCCAUUUAUUUGGACUUUUUAAAAUUUUUUGGUGCUUCAUAUAAUAGGUCCGUUACACUUAGAAGGUGGUCAAAUGAUAUCCGGAAAAAUCAAAAUCCAAAAAUACUAAAAAAUUCACGAGGGUACGAAGAAUGUGAGGAUUCCUCACAUUCUUCGUACCCUCCCAAUCUCCAUUUCUUUGGACUUUUUAAAAUUUUUUGGGGCUUCAUAUGGCUUGGAUGUUGCUUGAAUAGGUCCAUUACACUUAGAAGGUGGUCAAAUGAUAUCCGGAAAAAUCAAAAUCCAAAAAUACUAAAAAAUUCACAAGGGUACGAAGAAUGUGAGGAAUCCUUACAUUCUUCGUACCCUCCCAAAUUUCCACUUCUUUCGACUUUUUAAAAUUUUUUGCGCCAUCAUAUGGCUUGAAUGUUGCUUGAAUAGGUCCGUUACACGUAGAAGGUGGUCAAAUGAUAUCCGUAAAAAUCAAAAUGGAAAAAUACUAAAAAAUUCACAAGGGUACGAAGAAUGUGAGGAAUCCUCACAUUCUUCGUACCCUCCCAAAUCUCCACUUCUUUGGACUUGUUAAAAUUUUUUGGGCCAUCAUAUGGCUUGAAUGUUGCUUGAAUAGGUCCGUUACACUUAGAAGGUGGUCAAUGACAUCCGGAAAAAUCGAAAUCGAAAAUACUAAAAAAUUCACAAGGGUACAAAGAAUGUGAGGAAUCCUCACAUUCUUCGUACCCUCCCAAUCUCNCUUCUUUGGACUUUUAAAUUUUUUGGACAUCAUAUGGUUGGAUGUUGCUUGAAUAGGUCCGUUACACUUAGAAGGUGGUCAAAUGAUAUCCGGAAAAAUCAAAAUCCAAAAAUACUAAAAAAAUUCAAAAGGAUACAAAGAAUGUGAGGAAUCCUCACAUUCUUCAUACCCUCCAAAAUCUCCAUUUCUUUGGACUUUUUAANNNNNNNNNNNNNNNNNNNNNNNNNNNNNNNNNNNNNNNNNNNNNNNNNNNNNNNNNNNNNNNNNNNNNNNNNNNNNNNNNNNNNNNNNNNNNNNNNNNNUCAAAUGAUAUCCGGAAAAAUCGAAAUCCAAAAAUACUAAAAAAUUCACAAGGGUACGAAGAAUGUGAGGAAUCCUCACAUUCUUCGUACCCUCCCAAAUCUCCACUUCUUUGGACUUUUUAAAAUUUCUUGGGCCAUCAUAUGGCUUGGAUGUGUGCUUGAAUAGGUCUGUUACACUUAGAAGGUGGUCAAAUGAUAUCCGGAAAAAUCGAAAUCCAAAAAUACUAAAAAAUUCACAAAGGUACGAAGAAUGUGAGGAAUCCUCACAUUCUUCGUACCCUCCCAAAUCUCCACUUCUUUGGACUUUUUAAAAUUUUUUGGGUCAUCAUAUGGCUUGGAUGUUGCUUGAAUAGGUUGAUUCCACUUAGGCGGUGUUCGAAUAAGUCCCGAAAAAUUAAAAGCUAAAAAUACUAAAAAAUUAGAAAAGGUCCGAAGAAUGUGAGGAUUCCUCACAUUCUUCGUACCGUCCCAAAUCUUCACUUAUUUGAAGUUUUAAAAAUUUUGUUGGACUUCAUAUGCCUUGGAUAUUGUCUAAAUAGGUUGAGUCCACUUAGGUGGUGUUCGAAUGAGUCCUGGUAAAAUUAAAAGCCAAAAAUAUUAAAAAAUUAGAUAAGGUACACAGAAUGUGAGGAAUCCUCACAUUCUUCAUACUCUCCCAAAUCUCCACUUCUUUGAAGUUUUAAAAUUUUUUUGGACUUCAUUUGCCUUGGAUAUUGUUUAAAUAGGUUGAUUCCACUUAGGCGGUGUUUGAAUGAGUCCUGGAAAAAUCCAAAUCCAAAAAUAUUAUAAAAUUGGACGGGGUACGAAGACUGUAAGAAAUCCUCACCAUUUUCCGCUUGUAUGAGGGUGUGAAAUGGAUUCUUCAAAAUUCAAAAUGGAAAUAUACGAAAAAAUAUUGUGAGGCGUUUUGAUUUCCAUAUGGUUAGUAAUUAUACAUUUUUCGUAUUUUCAAUAUUUCAAUUAAUUUUUUUGUGUAAUUCAAUUUAAACGCUAAGAAAUAAUUUGGUCAUAUAUUAUCAAUUAAUAAUUAGUACACAAUUAAUUUAAUAUAAAUUUAAUAUUUAUAUUUUAUAUCAUUUAUUUAUAUUUUUUCUUUUUUUUUCACUUCAUAAACAAAUUAUAUUGCUUUUCACACUUCAAAUAUUUUUCAAAUUUUGUCAACAAAUUAUUUGAUGUUAAAAUAAAGUAUAUUUACUUUUCCUUAAUUUAUAAAUUUUAUCACCAAAUUAGUUUGAAUUUUUUUUAUUUAAAAUUUAAUUUUUAUCUUGGGUUUAAUCACUUUAUAUUACAAAAAAAAAUGCUAUUUAUUUUUUCAAAUUUCUCUUUAUUUUUCUGUUGCACAAAAAAAAUUCCCCAAACAAAAUAAUUACAUUAAACAGGAAUUUAUAAUUGGUUGUUGUAAUGGAUGUAAAAAUGUGUGUUGCAUGGGAUUAAUUCCCAUGGCAACCGGUUACCAACCUGAAGAAUUGGUUUUGUAUAUUAUUUUUCCAUGCCAUGUGUCUUCAUCUUGUGAGUCCAAAAAAGUGGGUAUGGUACCGAAAAACCACUUUUCGGUACCCUAGCAUAACCCUAUAUUAUAUAAGCAAGCAUGCAGACCAUGUUCCACAAUAAUAUCAUAUAUUAUAUAAGCAGCCAAACAAGACUUCUUCCUUCCAAGCAUGCAGACCAUAUUCCGCAAUAAUAUCAUAUAUUAUAUAAGCAGCCAAACAAGACUUCUUCCUUCCAAGCAAGCAAACCAUAUUCGACAAUAAUAGUUAAUAUUAUAUAAGCAUAAGUUCUUCUAUGUUUCCUUCUUCAUUGACGAGGUUGACAUGAUUUUUUAUGUUUUUUGUUGAGAUUGUAAUUUUUAGAUUAAACAUGAAAUGUUUUCUUACAUUCUAUUUACUUUUCUUCACUAUUGGUAGCAAAUUUUAUUUUUCUAUCCCGAUGGAAAUACCUAAUAUUGUUAUGAAUCAUGAAAAAUCAUAUCAAUCUCAUAUUUGUUGUUUGUGCUUGAUAGUAGGAUUUUCUUAAAUUUUGCAUUUUAAAUAUUUUUUUUUGGACUUCCCUCAUGUCUAGUACCCUACUUAAAAAUAAAAUAAAAUAAAAUAAAAAUAAAAAACAAUUAUUAACUUAAAAUUCUUCCAUAUUUAACCAUUUUUAAAAUGCGAGAAUUAAGCAAAUUGAGUAAUAUUCUCUUUGUUAGUUUUUAAGUGCUAAUCAAUUGAAGGUAAUCAUUCGGAAGGGGAGUGAAGUGGGGAUGGUCACUUUUUCAAAAUUUAAUAAUUAUAAAUACACAUAAAAUAUAAAUAAUAAUAUAAUAAAUCAAUAUAAGGAUAAUUUUCAAAUAAAUAAAGUAUGGAGGGGGACAUGCAAAUACUAAUUUUUAUAAUGGUUUAGCGUAACUUGACUUACACUUAUAUUCACCCUCCUCAAAUUCCAACCGAGUGAAUAUUCAACUAAUAAGGCUUCCAACUAAGCCUUCAAACUUAACCCAAUAAGAUAUAAUAUGCAAAGAAAUAUUGAAGUAAUAAUACUAAACAAAUCUCUUUAUAAAGUAGUUAGGAUUUCACAGAUGUACUAUUCGCAAUAAUAUUAUAACAUUGUAGGAAAAAAUUAAGGGAUUUUCAAUAGAUAAUUCUCAAAAACAAAGGUGAUUAAUUGUGUUUACAAGAAAAAAAAAUUAUUAUUUCUCUUCAAAAAUGAGCUUAACAAGGGACCCUUUUUUUUUUUGUCAAAAUUAGAAUAGAGUUUGAACACAUUAUUUGAAUCAACAUCUUUCCAAAAGUCAAGAGUGAUGGAAGGCAAAACCCAUCACUUGGUUGGCUGAUUCUUACCUAAUCAAAUGAACUACUCUUAUACAUUGUUUCUAGAAAGAAGUCUAAGAAAAUGUAUGGCACAAUGCAUGUGAUGGGAUCCACCACUUCUAGAGCAAAGUCUCAACUUCCAUGUGAACUCUAAGACCUCUCAAAAUCUUUUUUUUUUUUAUUAUUAUAUUUUUAAAUUAUUAUUUUCACAACAUUAAUUGCUUUAAUAUUUAAUGUUCCUUUCUCCUCUUUUUCUUUGAUAAUAGUGAAAUAUAUAUAUGAAAGCAUGUCUUCGUCAAUAAUUUAACUUUAGUUUUUCCAUUUUUAUGGAUAUCCAAAUAAUAAAAAAAUUAUGAUUUUUUGUUUCUCUCUUUUUCCCUAUAAUUUUUUAAUUUAUUUUUAUUUUCUCUAACUUUCUGAAAACAAAAUAUAACCUAAAUUUUUAUAUAGUCAAUUUGCAGCUAUGGGCAUAUGUCUUGUUUUAGAGUUUUUUAUGACAAUAUUUAAAUUAGCCUUGAAAUUUGGAAGUUAAUCCUAAAUUUUAGGUUGCGAAAGACCACAUUUUCUAUAAGCCCAACUAAAUAGAAACACAAAAAUAAUUCAUAUAGGUUCACUCAAAUUGAAUAAAACUCAUAUUUAAAAUAAGUUGAAUAAAAAAAACUUAAAUACAAUUGUCAUCACAAUAUUACAAAAAUGAGCUUAACAAGAGACUCUAUUUUUUCUUUUUCAAAAUAAACAAAUUUAAGAAGGAGAUUUAAUGCAUUAUUUGAAUCAACAUGUUACCAAAAAUUAAAAUCAAAAAUAAAAAUACAAAGAAUAAAAAGUUAAGAGUGAUGGUACACAAAACCCCACUAUUUGAUUGGUUGGUUUCUAUCUAAUCAAAUGCAUUAUUGUUGGGAUAAAAGAACCCUACCGGUAUGUGUAACGCCCAAGUUUUCAUUUUAAAGGGUAAUUUAGGAAAUUCUUAAUAAUGAUAUUAAAUUAAUUAAUUAAUUAAUUUAAUAAAAUGGAAGAGGGGUGAAAAGGUAAUUUUACGAAUAAUACCCUAGGUAUAAAUAGAAAAUUAUCUUCUUCCUGUUCUUUUUUGAAUCAUAUUCCUGUUCGCAGAGAAUUUCUAGAGAACGUGAAGUUAAGAUCAGAUUUCAAGGUUUGAAGAACAAACCUCUAUAGGUAAGUUUCUAACCUCUAUAUUAUUAUUUUAGAUUCAUUAGUUAAUUUCAAGCACAUUAGAUAUAUUUUUUUUGGAAAACCCCAAAUCUAGAUUAGGGUUAGAUUAUUUUUUUUUUAAUUCGUUUUAAUAUUAAAUAGUGAAAAUUUAAUAUUUUGAUUUAUUAUUGGAAUUGGGGAGAUCUUAAGUUUUUUUUUAUUAGAAAAAAAGAAAAUUCCUAUGAAAAUUUCGAUUUAGAUUAGGGUUAGUUUAUUAUUAUUAUUAUUAUUAUUAUUUCGUUUUAAUAUCAAAAUAGUAAAAAUUUAAGAUUUUGAUUUAUUAUUGGAAAUUGGAAAUUCUUAAGCUUUUAGAAAAAAAAAAAAAAAAACCUGGAAGAUGCGUGUGCACACUGUAGAAUUGGAGAAUGGUUUAAGGAUUAAAAGAAAAAAAUAGAGGACGCGUGUGCUCACUGGAAUUGGAGAAUGAAAAAAAAAUAAUAUAUUAUAUAUAUGGGUGUGGGUGUGUGUACGGAUGGAGGGAUGGGUGGUGUUUGGUAGUUAAUGUACAUAUAUGUAUAUAUAUUAUUAUAUUGACAAUGGAUAAAGUUUAUGUUUAAAAAAAAAAAAAAAGAGAAUAGAAGUUUUAAAUAAAAGAAAGUAAAGUUUUUUUUGGUAUUAUAAUUAUACUAAUAAUGAGUAUAAGUUAAUAAAUAACAUAGAAAUUAAUUAGUGAAAUAAAUUAUAGUUUAAUUAAAUUAAGUUGUGUCCCAAAAAAAAAAAAAAUUAAUUUGAAUACCUAAAAUUUUAGGAUUGACAAACCUGUAAUUUUAGAUAAAUAGUAAUGGUUAUUUCUCUUAUAUUUGUUAGGUGAAGAGUAGAUUUUCAGGAUUAUUUUUCUCCAAAGUUUUUGAGGACUUCUUUUGAGGUAAGGGAAGUUAAUGUAAUAUUUAUAAAAUUAAAUUAUUUCAUAUGUUAUUUUGAAUUGUGGAAAAUAAAAUGAUAUUUUGUUACCAUGCAUGGAUCAAAUUGUUUUGCACUAAAUGUUAUGUUGGAAUAUUUUGUUUUAUUUAUGACACAAAAUAUGGAGAUAUUAUGUUGUGUAAAUUUGAAUACUUGAACAAAAACAUCACUCUGGUUUAUUUGGCCCUUGUCAACGGGAUAUAAUAAUUGACUAUUUGGCCCUAUCAACGGGAUAUAAUAAUUGACCUUUACAUUUCAUGGUGGGAAUGUAAUUGAUUUGGACCCCAGCCUCUAGGGGUUUGGUUAGAGGUUACUAGUACUAGUAGCGUUUGGUUCCGUCCACCAGGAACAAUUUGAGGCUAGCCACCCAUUUGAAAAGUCCCACCUAACUGGGCAUUUGAUAUUUGAUAACCAGAGUAAUGAAACUUGAAUGAAUUUGAUUGAAUCUUAUGUGAAAGUGUUUGAAUUUGAUAUGAAAUUGGUUGGUUGAAUUUUGAAUAUAUUGGUAUUUUUGGAACUCUGAUAUUUGAUAAGAAAAAAAAAAUUUAUAUCUCCUAUUUGAAAUGAAAAUAUUUGAUCCAUGAAUUGCAUUAAUAUUCCUUAUUGGGCUGUGAGCUCAUUCCCAAUUGUUGAAAAUUUUCAGGUACUCUUAGUUCGGGUGAGGAGUGAUGGCUAGGCUGAAGAAUGGUCAUCAUUAGGAUUUGACUUAGGAUUUUAUGUUGGAUUUUGUUUAACUGUUAGUUAUGUUCAUUUGGAUCAUUUGAUAUUUGAAAGUUAUUUGGAAAUUGAAUUUUGAGGAAUUUAGAUUUUGUUCCGCUACUCUGAACAAGUAUUUGGUAAUUGGUAACAUCUAGUUACAAUAUGAUUGUUCGGGUCAGAUUAUACUUUAAGCCUUCGGGUUUGAGGUGUGAAAUGACCGUCACGCCCUUGGAGUGGGUCUUGGGGCGUGACAGUAUGUGAUGGGAUCCACUACUUUUGGAGUGAACUCCUGUAAACUCUGGCUGCUCAACAUUUCUUUAUCCUUAUUUUAAAAAAUUUAACUAUUAUUUUCACAACAUUGCUUGAAGGAAGUUGUUUUUUUUCAUAUUUUUCUUAGAUAAUAAUAAAAAAGUUUGGAAAAAGUUCCUUCCUCAAUAGUUCAUUUUUCUUUAAUUUUCUCAUUUUUCCUUUUCAUUAUUUAAUUUUGAUGAAAACAAAAUGAUAGCAUCCAUCGGAACACCAUUUUUAUGUCUAUUUGUCUUAGGGUAAGUGCUAUUGCAUUUCUAUGUAUAUUUGGUUUUAUUUCAUAUGACUCAAUUUACAUAAAACCUAUAGUUAAAAUAAGUUGACCAGAAAAAAAGGGGGUAAACACAAUUGCUAUCAUGAUAUUACAAAAAUAAAGUUUAACAAGUGACCUUAUUUUUUCUUUGUCAAAUUAAGAAAAGAUAUUUAGUGUAUUAUUUGAACUAAUCAAAUGCAUUAUUGUUAGGACAAAAGAACCCUAUAUGUGAUGGGAUCCACUACUUUUUGAGCUGACUCCCAACUUCCAUGUAAAGUCUAGGGCCUCUCGACAUUUUUUUAUGCAUUCACUUGUUUUUAUUUUUGUUUUUAUUUUUAACUAUUAUUUUCACAACAUUGCUGUAAAGAAGUUGUUUUUCUUUUCAUAUUUUUCUUAGAUAAUAGUAAAAAAGUUUGAAAAAAGUGGCUUCUUCAACAGCUUAAUUUUUUUUUUCUCACAUUUUCAAUGGAUAUCUAGACCAAAGAAAUUCUUUUAUAAAUUUUUCUUCUCAUUUUCUUUUAUCUUUUAUCUUUUUUAACAUUUUUUUUCAACCUUUUAAAAACUAAAUAUAACCUAAAGAAAAUAAUAAUAAAUAUAAAAACAAAUACAUAAGGAAAGACUUUUAACAUAAUUUUUUAUUAUAAAAAUCAUUGAAGUGCACAAAUAAACCUAUAUAUAAAUGAUUGGGAAGCUGGAAUCCUUUGUUCUCAAGAAUCUUUAAUGAUUGGGAAAUGGAAGAGGUGGAGGGCUUGCUUCAAAAAAUACACCCUCUGGUUUUGCAUAGUGAUGUGGAGGAUGUUUUAAGCUGGAAGAUUGGUAAGAAUGACUCUUUCUCUGUUAGAUCUUGAAAAUGUGAAUCUCAAUAAUGAACUACACCUAGAGGGGGGUGAAUAGGUGUUGUAGAACAAUUUUAAAAUUCUCCCAAUAAAGAUUACCUAACCUUAAUAAAACAUCCACAAGCAACAAUGUAUGCAUCAACACUCUCCCAACAAUUUAUAAAUGCAAAACACAUGCAAAUGCUUCAACACUCCUCAAAAAUAAAACAAAAUAUAGAGUGAGAGAAAGAGACACCAGAUUUUUAACGUGGAAAACCUCCGAAGAGAUCAAAAACCACGGGCCUAUCACCGAUUGAAAACUCCACUAUGAAGAAUAAAAAACUGAGUACAAGGUUUUACCUAGCUCAAGCCAACCAAUCCUUCCCGGAAUACUUGACUAGUACCUUCAUUUUCAGCUUCUCCUUUUGGAGCACACUUGGAGUCCGCACCAAGCUCAAUCUCGGCCUCUUCUUGAAUCCACACAAGAAGAAAAUGGGUUUUUGCACAACCCAAAUAGAAUGAGAGAUUUAGAUGUGAAUGAAAGAAUGAAUCAACCCAUUUAUUGCUCAAGAAAAUCCAUUGAAAACAAGUUUUGAAAACAUUAAGAGAAGUUGAUUUUCUUUGCAAUCAAAAACCCCAACUUAGGAAAGCAAAAAUGAGAAAUGAAGAACACUUGGGAGUGUGGCUGCUCUCCCCACGUUUUCAGCAGUCUCUCUACACAGAAAAUGAGAGAAGAUUGGGUUUUAAAGUGUAAAAAGAAACCCUUAAUCUAAUGGCUGAGAUUUGAUCAAAAAAACAUUAGUUGGAUAGAUCCACCCCUACACCUGGAUCGAUCCAGAAACAGAGGAAUAAAAGCCUUGCACCAAAAACCAUUUUUUCCAACUUUCUAACACAUUUUAAAGAUUAAAAACCGGGUUGAUUCACACCCAAUCACUCCACACUCGACUACAUACCUUGGCCUCUUAGCAAAGUCUUAGUCUUCAAAGUCAAGUAGUCCGAAUAGGAAUAGGAAAGCCGAGUUAGGGGACACUUAGGAAUUUUGUCCGGAAUUGCCAACCUAGCUAAACACUCACAGAUCUCUCUACCAAUCCCUCACAACUACCUCUAGUGAACCUUUUCCUUGGAGCAUCAUUUGGAGAUCUUGGGCACCCGUGAGAGUUAGUUUUUUUGCUUGGGAAGCGUCUUGGAACCGAAUUUUGACCACUGAUCAGCUUAAAAGAAGGGGCUGGAUACUAUCAAAUAGAUGUUAUUUGUGUAAAAUGGAAGAGGAAACUAGCGACCACUUGUUCCUAUUCUGCAAGAAGGCUAUAAUGUUAUGGAGCUUGCUUUUCUCCCUUUUUGACGUGCAGUGGGUCCUACAUUCCUCAAUCAAAAGGAAUUUGAUAGCUUGACAUGGUGCUUCUAUGAGCAAGGGAAAGGAAAAAGCUUGGAGGGUUGCUCCCCUUUGUUUAAUGUGGAUAUUAUGGAGGGAGAGAAAUGAAAGAGUGUUCAAUAACAAUGAACGUACCGACCAAGCUCUAAAACUCUCUUUUUUGUACACUUUUGUGAAUUGGGGUAGGGUAUAUUUAGAGAAUCAUUCUUUGUCAUUGUUUGACUUUAUAGAAUGACUUUUGUCUAGAUAAAAUAAAGGUUUUUCUUUUUGGCUUAAAUCCUUGGGCGUUACUUGUAUACUUCGUGUCUACUCUUUUCGCCUUUCUAGGCUUUUAUAAUACAUCCUCUUAUUUGCCUAUAAAAAAAAAACACCUAUAUAUAAAUGAACUUUCAUUGUUUUAAACGUUAAUUAUUAUUGAUAUAACAAAAUGUAGUAUAAAGAAAAUAUAAUUUUACAAAAUUUAUCCAUUAAUCCAAAUGAAUAAGAAUUAAAUGGUGUAAAACAAUUUUCUAUUUUUGAUUAUUUUAUUUUAUUUUAUCUCAUUAUUAAAUUUUGAUGGUAGAAAAAUGGUGGCAUCCAAGAGAACACUAUUUCUAUGUCUAUUUGUUUUACGGUAAGUAAGUGUUAUUAGUGCAUUCCAAAUAAAAUAUAAAAAAAUUUAAUAAUGUUUAUUGCUAGAUUUAAAUUUGACAUAACCAAUAUGCAGUUAUAAACAUAUCUUUAUUGUUUUAGAACUUUUUAACCUUGAAAUUUUGAAUUUAUCCUAAAUUUUACAUGGGGUAAGACUAUAUUUUCAUAAGCUCAAUUAAAUAAAUGCACCAAAAUUUUUUGUUUGAGGUUAACUCAAAUUCAACUAUUUAAAGAAGUAACGGCAAUUCAAAUAAUUUUUUCCAAAUUCAUUUUAAUUUAUAACCCACCUUCUAAAGGAGUUCUCGAUUUCUACCAAUUACUUCAAAUUUACCUUAUUUUAUAUCCCAUAUUUUCAGAAGUCAAUUUACUUCCAACCACACAGAUCCCACGAUAAUAUUAUAUGUCAUCUUAAAUCCAUAUCCAUUUGAUUGGUAGGAUAUUAUCUCUUCAUUUUUAUUUUUUUUUUAAGUUGACGUUGACUCAAGUCAAUCCCCUCUCUCCAUAUAUAGAUGUAUCAGUCUGAGAUCACUUACAGCCUUCUGAUCGUCUCUCAUCGUCUCUCUAGCUACACUUCCGUUCCAUCUACUUUCCAUCCUCUGCAGUAUUAUUUUCUUUGCUAUUUCAAAUAUGGCUGAACAAAUUCCAUUCGGUAUUGCUGAGAACCUUUUGAUGAAGCUGGGCUCUGCUGUUUUCCAUGAAAUUGGAUUAAUGUAUGGUGUCCGAGGUGAGCUGAGUAAGCUUAAGGAGAAACUGUCCACCGUCGGAGCUGUGCUUCUUGAUGCUGAGGAGAAGCAGGAGAGCAGCUGCGCAGUAGCAGAUUGGGUCAGGAGGCUUAAAGAUGUUGUGUAUGAUGCUGAUGACUUGUUGGACGACUUUGCAACCGAAGACUUGAGGAGAAAGACUGAUGAUCGUGGAAGAUUUGCGGCACAAGUGAGUGACUUCUUCUCACCUUCGAAUCAACUUGCUUUUCGAUUUAAGAUGGCUCAUGGAAUAAAGGCUAUUAGAGAAAGGCUAGAUGAUAUUGCAAAUGAUAUCUCCAAGUUCAAUUUAAUUUCCAGAGUUAUGUCUGAUGUCCGGGUAAGGAAUAAUGGGAGGGAGACGUGCUCUGUUGUGGAGAAAUCUCAUAAAAUUGUGGGUAGAGAAGAAAACAAAAGGGAGAUAAUAGAGUUGUUGAUGCAAUCAAGUACUCAAGAAAAUCUGUCAAUGGUUGUGAUUGUAGGCAUGGGGGGCUUAGGCAAGACCACCCUUGCUCAGUUGGUAUACAACGACCAAGGGGUGGUAAGCUAUUUUAAUCUUAGCAUGUGGGUCUGUGUUUCCGUUGAUUUCGAUGUUGAAGUACUCGUUAAAAACAUCUUAAUGUCUGCGACUAAUGAAGAUGUGGGAAACCUACGCUUAGAACAAUUGCAAAAACGUCUGCAAGAAAAGUUAGAUGGGAAGAGGUACUUGCUUGUGUUAGAUGAUGUCUGGAACGAGGACAAAAGGAAAUGGGGUCAGUUCAUAACCUUAUUGCCUGUUGGUGCAAAUGGGAGUAAAAUCUUGGUGACCACUCGAAGCACAAGAGUUGCAUCAGUUAUAGGAAUUGAUUCCCCAUAUAUUGUGGAAGGUCUUAAAGAUGACGAGUCUUGGGAUUUGUUUGAAAGUCUUGCAUUUAAAAAGGCAGAAGAGCAAAUGCACCCAAACCUUGUAGCCAUAGGAAAAGAUAUUGUAAAGAUGUGCAAAGGAGUUCCUCUUAUCAUCGAGACUUUAGGCAGAAUGUUGUACUUCAAAACCCAAGAAAGCCAUUGGUUGAGCAUUAAAAAAAAUAAAAAUCUUGUACAUCUUGGAGAAAAAAAUGAUAUUUUACCGAUAUUGAGGUUAAGCUAUGACAAUCUCCCCGUCCAUUUGAAACAAUGUUUUGCCUAUUGUGCAUUGUUUCCCAAAGAUUAUAUAAUUAAAAAAAAGUUGUUAGUACAACUAUGGAUGGCACAAGGUUACCUUCAACCAUAUGAUGAGAAUAUAGAUUUAGAGGAUGUUGGUAAUCAAUAUUUUGAAGAUUUAUUGUCAAGGUCAUUGUUUCAAAAAGUUGAAAAUAAAUAUGAUAACAAUAUGUUAAGUUAUAAAGUGCAUGACUUAAUUCAUGAUCUUGCACAAUCCAUUGUAAAUUCGGAGGUUAUCAUUGUUACUGAUGAUGUGAAGAUCAUUUCACAAAGAAUUCAUCAUGUGUCAUUAUUUACAAAACACAAUGAAAUGCUCAAGGGUUUAAUGGGCAAAUCCAUCAGGACUUUCUUUAUGGACGCCGGCUUUGUGGAUGAUCAUGAUAGUUCUAUAACUAGACUCCUUUCAAGCUUAAAAGGUUUGCGGGUAAUGAAGAUGAGUUUCUUCUUACGACAUAAGGCUCUGUCAUCUUUAGGAAAACUAAGUCAUCUAAGAUAUCUUGAUCUUUCUUAUGGGUGGUUUGAAAACCUCCCAAAUGCUAUUACAAGAUUGAAGCAUUUACAGACAUUGACGCUUUUCAAUUGUAUACGUCUAAAAGAAUUGCCGAGAAAUAUGAAAAAAUUGAUCAACCUGAGGCAUCUUGAGAUUGAUGAAGUAAAUAAAUUAAGUUAUAUGCCACGUGGUUUGGGAGAUUUGACUAAUCUUCAAACCUUGCCAUUAUUCUGGGUAAGGAAUGAUGGUGGGGAAUCCAGGCACAAGAGAAUGGGUAGGUUGAAUGAACUGAGAUUCCUUAACAAUCUCAGAGGACAACUACAAAUUAAAAGGCUUUCAAAUGCAAGGGGCAGUGAAGCUAAGGAAGCCAUGUUGGAGGGUAAACAGUACCUUGAGUGCUUGAGAUUAGAUUGGUGGAAACUACCAGCUACCCAGGAGAGUGAGGAGGCAAUGUUAGUAAUGGAAUGCCUGCAACCACAUCCAAAUCUGAAGGAGCUCUUCAUAGUUGAUUACCCAGGUGUGAGAUUCCCAAAUUGGAUGAUGAAUGAUGGGUUGGAUUUGCUGCUCCCAAACCUAGUCAAAAUACAAAUAUCGUCUUGCGACAGAAGCAAAGUUCUGCCACCUUUUGCACAACUCCCUUCUCUUAAAUAUCUAGAACUUUCCAAUCUAAUAGCUGUGGAGUGCAUGAUGGAUUACCCUUCAUCAGCAAAGCCAUUCUUCCCAUCUCUGAAGACACUCCAACUUUCUGAUUUGCCUAAUUUGAAGGGAUGGGGAAUGAGGGAUGUAGCAGCAGAGCAAGCUCCUUCAUAUCCUUAUCUUGAGGAUCUACGGCUGGACAACACCACUGUGGAGCUAUGCUUACAUUUGAUCUCUGUCUCUUCUUCAUUGAAGUCUGUGUCUAUUAGACGCAUAAAUGAUCUGAUAUCUCUGCCAGAGGGGCUUCAACAUGUUUCCACCCUACAAACUCUCACAAUUAGGGGUUGCUCUAGUUUGGCAACUUUACCAGACUGGAUCGGCCGCCUCACAUCACUUUCAGAGCUUUGCAUUGAAAAGUGCCCUAAUUUAACAUCACUGCCAGAAGAGAUGCGAUCCCUCCGCCAUCUACACACACUUAAAAUCAAUGGAUGUCCAUACUUAUAUGAAAGAUGCCAAAAGGAAACUGGUGAAGAUUGGCCUACGAUUUCUCAUAUUCCCGAAAUUAUCAUUCGGCGAUGGUGAAGCAGAUAUGUGAAGCUUGCCUUGUCUCUUUAAUGAAUGCGUCAUCCACAAUAAAUUUCGGUAUGCAAUCCAAUUUCUAGUUGUUUGCUGUGCUUUUUGUUAUUUGUUCGCACUUCACCUGUUAUAUAAAAUGCUUAGCUUACCAAAAUGCCCUGUUACUCGGUGUUUGCAGUUUACACAUUUGCAUUUUACUGCCGUCGAAUGUAUUGAGGUGAACCCCCACCACAUGUUGAAUUGAUUGGUAGUGUGAAGAAGACCAUUGAUGUAUAUAGGUGUAGAGUAAGGUGUUUUUUCCAUAGGGACUGCCACAAGCAAUUUAAUUUCUUUUUUUUUUUUUUUUGAAUGUUGAUUCUUAUAAGAUAGAACCAAAAGCAUAAAAUAAAAUCUAAUGCUUAUUUAGAGUUUUUUUGUAAUAUAAACAAGUGCCUAUCGCAAAGAAAGAACAUAGCAUAUUUUUGUGCAAUUUUAAAUUAUUCAUCGUUCUAUGUGUUUCCAAUCCAAUUUGUAUGGUUGUUUUUGCAGGGUUUAUGUUUUGUUACUUUACAAUUUAUCUCUUAAGAACCUUAUAUAUUAUGUUUUGCUAAUUUCAAUAUGUAAUAGCAUAUGUGAGGAAAAAGGUUUUUCAAUUUGUUUUCCUUCACUUUGUUGCAUGUCUAUGUUCUUUUACUCAUGAAUACAAUUGGGACUGUAAAUGCUAUGUUCGGUUUUCUUGUAGUUAUUCAGAAUAUCACUUGGGAUGUGCAUAUAAUACUUUCUUAUUAUAGAAGUCUUUGCCCUAGUUAUAAAUUAUGAUUUGAUUUUAUAUUUUUGGAUUGAAAAAUGCUUGUAAUUCUUUUCGCUAGUCUAAUUUCUUGAUGAUUCAUUCUAUUAAGCCAACACCCUUUAAUAUUCCUUAAAAAAAUGUUGACAAGCGGAGGAUAACCGAUGCAUAUGGAACGAGUUAGCUCACUUACAUCACAUUCCCAACCUAUACUCUUUUUAGCAUGUUGUCCAUACUUUGUCUCCACUAUUCAGGUUUAGAAUUGACUCCUCUCCUUUUGCUCUGAAUUGUUUACCCCUUUCAUUCAUUUACUAAAAUUUUUUGUACUCCUUCUGAUGUUUUGAUCUUUUUUUUUUAACUCUUAUUUGAAGUAGAACAACAAUAUACCACUUGAGCAAGGAGCACAUAUCAUUGAAUCCAUGUGGUAAGUGGUUAAUUCUCGUCUCUCAAGUUUCUUGAUCGUGGGAAUCUAAAUGCUUUGGGGUGCAUGGAUAACAAUAGCGACAUAUCUCCCUCAUUUUCAUUGAGAGGCAAGUUGGUUUGAGGGGAGUAUAAAAUAAGGAGAACUAGCAGGACCAUUCUUCCCAUUCCUGCCAUGAUGGAGGAAAAGAGACGGUGGAGGGAUAGUAUCAAUAUCACUAGCAAAACAACAAAUUUGAAGGGAUUACCCAUCAUCAGCAAAGCCAUUAUUCCCAUGUCUGAGGACACUCCAACUUUUUUAUUUGCCCAAUUUGGAGGGAUGGGGAAGGAGGGAUGUAGCAGCAGAGCAAGCUCCUUCAUAUGCUUAUCUUGAGGAUCUACAGCUGGGCAACACCACUGUGGAGCUACGCUUACAUUUGAUCUCUGUCUCUUCUUCAUUGAAGUCUCUGUCUAUUAGACGCAUAAAUGAUCCGAUAUCUCUGCCAGAGGGGCUUCAACAUGUUUCCACUCUACAAACUCUCAGAAUUUCCGGUUGCUUUAGUUUGGCAACUUUACCAGACUGGAUUGGCAGCCUCACAUCACUUUCAUACCUUUCCAUUCAAUACUGCCCUGAGUUGAGAUCACUACCAGAAGAGAUGCGAUCCCUCCGCCAUCUAUACACACUCGAAAUCGGUGGAUGUCCAUGCUUAUAUGAAAGAUGCCAAAUGGAAACUGGCGAAGAUUGGCCUAAGAUUUCUCAUAUUCCCGAAAUUAUUAUUUCGCGACAUUGAAGCAGGUAUGUGAAGCUUGCCUUGUCUCUUUAAUUGAAUGCGUCAUCCACAAUAAAUUUCAAGUAUGCAAUCCAAUUUCCAAUUGUUUGUUGUGCUUUUUCUUAUUUGUUCGCACUUCACCUGUUCGAUAAAAUGCUUAGGUUACCAAAAUGCCUUGUUACUCGGUGUUUGCAGUUUACACGUUUGCAUUUUAUUGCCGUCGAAAUUGUUGUCAUCUCAUUUCUCUCAAAUAUUAUAUAAAUUUCAGAAUAUAAUACUUGAAACUGUUGCACUACUGAUUAUUUAAGGCUUGGAAUGCCUUCAAAAAUUGCAACCAUCAUGCCUCUAGAUGGCCACCCAAGAAAACUAAAGCUCAGGAAACUCAGCCAGGAAUUUAUAUUAAUCAGAACUAGACUCUUAUAUGGAUUUGCUUGUAGUGUUUAACAAUGUUUGGGCUAGAACUUAAAGAAGUGUAGCUCCAUAUUCCUUGAUAGACAUGUUAAUGUAUUGAGGUGAACCCCACCACAUGUUGAAUUGAUUGGUAGUGUGAAGAAGACCAUUGGUGUAUAUAGGUGUAGACUAAGGUGCUUCUUCCACAGGGCUGCCACAAGCAAUCUAAUUUCUUUUUCUUAUUUUUUUUCUUUUUUUUAUGUUGAUUCUUAUAAGAUGGCACCAAAAGCAUAAAAUAAAAUCUAAUGCUUAUUUAGAGUUUUUUGUAAUAUAAACAAGAGUCUAUUGCAAAGAAAGAACAAACAUAUUUCUAUGCAAUUUUAAAUUAUUCAACUUACUAUGUGUUUGCAAUCCAAUUUGUAUGGUUGUUUUUACGGGGUUUAUUUUUAGUUAUUUUACAAUUCAUCUCUUAAGAACCUUAUAUAUAUUAUAUUUUGCUAAUUUCGAUAUGUAAUAGCAUAUGUGAGGAAAAAGGUUUUUCAAUUUGUUUUCCUUCACUUUGUUGCAUGUCUAUGUUCUUUUAUUCAUGAAGAUAACUGGGACUGUAAAUGUCAUGUUCGGUUUUAUUGUAGUUAUUCAGAAUAUCACUUGGGAUGUGCAUAUAAUACUUUCUUAUUAUGGAAGUCUUUUCCCUGGUUAUAAAUUAUGAUUUGAUUUUAUAUUUUUGGAUUGAACAAUGCUUGUAAUUCUUUUCGCUAUUCUAAUUUCUUGAUGAUUCAUUCUAUUAAGCCAACACCCUUUAAUAUUCCUUAAAAAAAUGUUGACAGGUGGAGGAUAACCGAUGCAUAUGGAACGAGUUAGCUCACUUACAUCACAUUCCCAACCUAUACUCUUUUUAGCAUGUUGUCCAUACUUUGUCUCCACUAUUCAGGUUUAGAAUUGACUCCUCUCCUUUUGCUCUGAAUUGUUUACCCCUUUCAUUCAUUUACUAAAAUUUUUUGUACUCCUUCUGAUGUUUUGAUCUUUUUUUUUUAACUCUUAUUUGAAGUAGAACAACAAUAUACCACUUGAGCAAGGAGCACAUAUUAUUGAAUCCAUGUGGUAAGUGGUUAAUUCUCGUCUCUCAAGUUUCUUGAUCGUGGGAAUCUAAAUGCUUUGGGGUGCAUGGAUAACAAUAGCGACAUAUCUCCCUCAUUUUCAUUGAGAGGCAAGUUGGUUUGAGGGGAGUAUAAAAUAAAGAGAACUAGCAGGACCAUUCUUCCCAUUCCUGCCAUGAUGGAGGAAAAGAGAUGGUGGAGGGAUAGUAUCAAUAUCACUAGCAAAACAACAAAUUUGAAGGGAUUACCCAUCAUCAGCAAAGCCAUUAUUCCCAUGUCUGAGGACACUCCAACUUUUUUAUUUGCCCAAUUUGGAGGGAUGGGGAAGGAGGGAUGUAGCAACAGAGCAAGCUCCUUCAUAUCCUUAUCUUGAGGAUCUACAGCUGGGCAACACCACUGUGGAGCUACGCUUACAUUUGAUCUCUGUCUCUUCUUCAUUGAAGUCUCUGUCUAUUAGACGCAUAAAUGAUCCGAUAUCUCUGCCAGAGGGGCUUCAACAUGUUUCCACCCUACAAACUCUCACAAUUGAAUAUAUCUCUGGUUUGGUCACUUUACCACACUGGAUCGGCCGCCUCACAUCACUUUCAAAGCUUCGCAUUGAACACUGCCAUAAUUUGUUAUUUCUGCCAGCAGAGAUGCGAUCCCUCCGCCAUCUACACACACUUGAAAUCUGUGAUUGUCCACUCUUAUAUAGAAGAUACAAAUACAAAACUGGUGAAGUUUCGGCUAUGAUUUCUCAUAUUCCCGAAAUUAUUAUUUCGCGACAUUGAAGCAGGUAUGUGAAGCUUGCCUUGUCUCUUUAAUUGAAUGCAUCAUCCACAAUAAAUUUCAAGUAUGCAAUCCAAUUUCUAGUUGUUUGUUGUGCUUUUUCUUAUUUGUUCGCACUUCACCUGUUCGAUAAAAUGCUUAGGUUACCAAAAUGCCUUGUUACUCGGUGUUUGUAGUUUACAUGUUUGCAUUUUACUGCCGUCGAAAUUAUUGUCAUCUCACUUCUCUCAAAUAUUAUAUAAAUUUCAGAAUAUAAUACUUGAAACUGUUGCAAUACUGAUUAUUUAAUGCUUAUAAUGCCUUCAAAAAUUGCAACCAUCAUGCCUCUAGAUGGCCACCCAAGAAAACUAAAGCUCAGGAAACUCAGCCAGGAAUUUAUAUUAAUCAAAACUAGACUCUUUUAUGGAUUUGCUUGUAGUGUUUAACAAUGUUUGGGUUAGAACUUAAAGAAGUGUCGCUCCAUAUUCCUUGAUGGACACGUUAAUGUAUUGAGGUGAACCCCACCACAUGUUGAAUUGAUUGGUAGUGUGAAGAAGACCAUUGGUGUAUAUAGGUGUAGACUAAGGUGCUAAAUCCGUGGGGACUGCCACAAGCAAUCUAAUUUUAUUUUAUUUUUUUAUGUUGAUUCUUAAAAGAUGGCACCAAAAGCAUAAAAUAAAAUCUAUUGCUUAUUUAGAGUUUUUUGUAAUAUAAACAAGUGUCUAUCGCAAAGAAAGAAUAGAGCAUAUUUCUAUGCAAUUUUAAAUUAUUCAACUUACUAUGUGUUUGCAAUCCAAUUUGUAUGGUUGUUUUUACAGGGUUUAUUUUUUGUUAUUAUACAAUUUAUCUAGCUCUUUAGAACCUUAUAUAUUAUGUUUUGCUAAUUUCGAUAUGUAAUAGCAUAUGUGAGGGAAAAGGUUUUUCAAUUUGUUUUCCUUCACUUUGUUGCAUGUCUAUGUUCUUUUACUCAUGAAUAUAAUUGGGACUGUAAAUGUCAUGUUCGGUUUCCUUGUAGUUAUUUAGAAUAUCACUUGGGAUGUGCAUAUAAUACUUUCUUAUUAUGCAAGUCUUUUCCCUAGUUAUAAAUUAUGAUUUAAUUUUAUAUUUUUGGAUUGAACAAUGCUUGUAAUUCUUUUCACUAGUCCAAUUUCUUGAUGAUUCAUUCUAUUAACCCAACACCCUUUAAUAUUCCUAAAAAAAAUGUUGAUAGGUUGAGGAUAACCGAUGCAUAUGGAACAAGUUAGCUCACUUACGUCACACUCCCAAUCUAUACUAUCUUUAGCAUGUUGUCCAUACUUUGUCUCCACUAUUCAGGUUUAGAAUUGACUCAUCUCCUUAUGCUCUGGAUUGUUUACCCCUUUCAUUCAUUUACUAAAAAAUGUUGUACUUCGUCUGAUGUUUUUCGUCUGAUAUUUUGAUCUUUUUUUUAACUCUCAUUUAAAGUAGAACAACAAUAAACCACUUGAGCAAGGAGCACAUAUUACUGAAUCCAUGAGGCAAGUGGUUAAUUCUCGUCUCUCAAGCUUCUUGAUCAUGGGAAUCUAAAUGCUUUGGGAUGCAUGGAUAACAAUAGCGGCAUAUCUCCUUCAUUUUCAUUGAAAGGCAAGUUGGUUUGAGGGGAGUAUAAAACAAGGAGAACUAGCAGGACCAUUCUUCCCAUUCCUACCAUGAUGGAGGAAAAGAGAUGGUGGAGGGAUAGUAUCAAUAUCACUAGCAAAACAACAGUAACCAACAUUCAUUACCUCUCUAGUUUCCUCGUCUUUUUAUUUUACUUGAGCUGAAAUGCAUGCUGAUAUAUCUAUAUCUUGAUCAGGAUUUAGAUCUGUAUAACAUCUCUUCCACAAGAGGAGCCCUAAGUGCUUACUUCUCCUAAUUUGGUAAGUAUGUUGCAUUAUUGUUUGUUUGUAUGAUUCUAAAUAUCAGUUUUGAAUGAUGAUGAAAAUUUAUGUUUUUCUCUCAUUUUCUCAAAAUUGAUGACAAAUAGAUAAAAGAUUCUUGUGCUCUUUAAUUCUAGCACACCAUACAAACAUAUUUUAGGUUUGCAAAUCACCCCAUAUUCCUUUUCUAUGGGGUUUACUUUUCAUUAUUUUACAAUCUGUCCUUUAAGAAUGUUACACUUUCUUUACAGCUUUAAUGGUUACCAGAGUCUUUGAUGCAUUUCCAAAAACACUCAUAUUAUGCAAGUCCUUUUCAUGGUUAUGAGUCAUGUUUGUAAUUCUUUUGAUUGGAUUUUAUUGGACAAAUUUAUUGCAGAUUUAUUCUAUUGCAGACCAAUACCAAAGGGGUGAUGUUGAGGAUUGGAUAGAUGCUUUUCAAUAUUCCAUAAAUAAAUAUUGACAUGUUAUGGGUACCCGAGGCAUAUGGGAAGAGUUAGCCAUUCAAUUCGAUAUUUAAGCUUUGCAUGUUGUCUAUAACAUGUCUUCAUUAUUCAGGUUUAGGACCCAUUCCUCUCUUUUUUGGUUUUGUUGGUUUAUUUUCUGUUAUUUAAUUUGCUAAAAAUUCUUAUACCUUGUCUUAUAGGAAGGGUGAAACAAGGAGAAUUAACAGGAUUAUUCUUCUCAUUUCUGCCAUGAUGGAGAAACUCAAAAACUAGAUAAACUUAAAACAUAUGUCGAGGUGGUAGUGGCAUUACCAGAUAAACAACAGAAGCUUCAUUCUUGCCAUGUUUUCCUUUUCUUCCUAUUCUCCUUGAGCCGACAUCCAUGCCACUGCAUCUAUAUCUUAAGGAUCCACAGUACCAUCUCCUUCAUUUCCUUUCUCCUUCCUACAUCCAUUGAUGUCUAUGCAUAUUGAUGGCGAUAGAGAAUCCAACAUAUGUUCCAAAAAAAGGAUUUUGGUACAUCAUUUCUCUCUUAAAUUUUGACAUGCCAUUGUUUAUUUGUCCAAGUCUAGAUAUUCGAAAUGUAAAUGCUAAUGGUGGUGAAAUCUUAUGUCUUAGGGAAUUUCAGCAAGUUAAAGAUUUUUAUGUGAAAGUAGGAAUCAAUUCUAAGAACUUGAGAGGUAGCAUUCAAUAUGUAUUCACCUUACUACAGCAAAGAAUCUAACACUUUGGGUAUGUGUUCAUUCUUUAACUUAGGUAAAAUAGAUGGUAAGUCACCUCACUAAGCUUGUUGUUAUUCAUUGUCAAGCUUGAAAUCACUACUAGAGGGAUGUCAAAAGGAAGCAUGUGCAGAUUGAUCUGAUGGCUUAUCAUGUCCCAAGAAUUCAUAUCUACCAGUCUCAAAUAGCUAAUGCACAAAGGACCU
rnacentral:lncRNA from 1 species